AGUGAUGGGUGCACCCUGGGAAGGUGGGCAUAACCUACUGGCAGUUAAAGAGACAGCAUCACUUCGCAGCGAUACAUGAGUACCAGCUCCCGUGAACUCUUAACUGCCUAAUUACACCAUAAUACUAUUGGGAAGGGAAUUUUCACGCUAAAGAACAAGAAGAUGGAAGCAAAACAUAAACUGAUUCACAAGUUGUGUGAAGAAAAGUAGUUAAGAAAGUGGUCGUGAUUUUUACGUAUUUAAGUCAUCAUUUUCAAACCUCAGAUCGAGUCCUGUGAGAGUCAGCACCUACAUUUUCGCCUGUGUUCUCUCUGGGUUCGAAGGACAACUUAGUAAAUAAUAUGAACUUAGAAACACGCAGAAAUAAAGCAGAUUGUAGAACACUGUAACGGUGUCAGUCUGUCUCAGCUACACUGGUCCUAAUGGUGUCAUCUGUUAGCAGUUCUUCUCUUUUCCCCUGCUACUGAGUAAGCAGCAUUCAGAGUCCAGCCAAAACCUGAGAUGCAGUGUUAGACACCAUCUGGAUUGCUCAUCUGAUUUCAAUCCAAAUCGUCCUCAAGCCGAUCUUGGAACAGAGUGAAGAAUUUGAAUGUGAUUAGGGUGAGGAAUGAAGAAGGCAUGGAGACAGAUCAGCAUCAAGCUUCCAGGCACAAAGGGGUGCUUUUCUCAUUUGCAGUCUCCAUUGUGAAAAACAGGAUUUUAGAGCCAGAAAAUGUAACAGGCAUACAGGUAGAAAUACAAAGACAAGCACAUUCAUCUGUGUACCCUGAAACAUAC